rnacentral:rRNA from 1 species
GACGAACGCUGGCGGCGUGCUUAACACAUGCAAGUCGAACGGUGAAGCGCCUUCCUUUUUGGUGGGUGUGGAUGAGUGGCGAACGGGUGAGUAACACGUGAGUAACCUGCCCCCUUCUUCUGGAUAACCGCAUGAAAGUGUGGCUAAUACGGGAUAUUCUGGGUCUGUCGCAUGAUGGGUCUGGGACAGAUAUUGUUUCGGUGGGGGAUGGGCUCGCGGCCUAUCAGCUUGUUGGUGGGGUGAUGGCCUACCAAGGCGGUGACGGGUAGCCGGCCUGGGAGGGUAGACGGUCAGAGUGGGACUGAGACACGGCCGAGACUCAGACGGGAGGCAGCAGUGGGGAAUAUUGCACAGUGGGCGCAAGCCUGAUGCAGCGACGCGGCGUGGGGGAUGGAGGCCUGCGGGUUGUGAACCUCUUUCGCCAGUGAAGCAGGCCUGCCUCGUUUGUGGGUGGGUUGACGGUAGCUGGAUAAGAAGCGCCGGCUAACUACGUG